rnacentral:rRNA from 1 species
AUUGAACGCUGGCGGCAGGCUUAACACAUGCAAGUCGAGCGAGCGGCGGACGGGUGAGUAAUGUCUGGGAAAAUGCCUGAUGGAGGGGGAUAAAUACUGGAAACGGUAGCUAAUACCGCAUACCAUCAGAUGUGCCCAGAUGGGAUUAGCUAGUAGGUGGGGUAAUGGCUCACCUAGGCGACGAUCCCUAGCUGGUCUGAGAGGAGGACCAGCCACGUGGGAACUGAUACACGGUCCAGACUCCAACGGGAGGCAGCAGUGGUGAAUAUUGCACAAUUGGCGCAAGCCUGAUGCAGCCAUGCCGCGUGUGUGAAGAAGGCCUUCGGGUUUUAAAGCACUUUCAGCGAGGAGGCUUUACUCGCAGAAGAAGCACCGGCUAACUCCGUGCCAGCAGCCGCGGUAAUAC